AUGAAUGGGCGGGCCUUGAUCCCACAAAAUU
rnacentral:tRNA from 1 species